UGAAUUUGAUCCUUUAAUUAUACUUUUUAUUUAUUUUUUUUCUUUCUCCUUACAUAUUUGCACUUCAUAUCCCACAAUCCUUUUGUCAGUUUCACUACAUUACCCAUACACCCCCUGGGCAAGGUCUAUAAGUAGACCUCACUUCCUCCCUUUUUUCCUUUUGUAUUGGUGAGGUGUGGUGGUUGGAAUGGACACCCAACCAUGUCCUUUCCUUAGGAUGCGUUGAUGACUAAAGACCAUCUUGUACGUCCUGUUUAUCCUGUCCCUCCAUUAACAUCUGUUCAUUGGCAUCAUGUGUGUCAGCUCCAUGUGAAUUAAGACUUUAUCAUCCUGAACUGAAAAUAAAAGAGAGCAAAGGACUG